rnacentral:snRNA from 2 species
GUGCUCAAUUCAGCAACACAUAUACUAAACUUAGAACAGUUCAGAGAAGACUAGUAUGGCCCUUGUGCAAGGAUGACUUAAGAUUUGCAAAGCAUUUCGUAUUUUUU